GAAGUUUGGAACCACCAGGACUCUUCCCAGAGUUGGCCACCCGAAGCACACAGCCAAGAUAACAAAGGAGCGGCUUCGGGACAACUAUGUGAAUGUACAAAUGAAACAAAGUAGCCAUGCAGCAGCCGCGCUUUGGAAGAGUUGCCACGACGCUCCGUUCCCGACCAGCUGGCCUCCUCACUUUAUUAUUGAAUAAACCGCCAUUGUCACCGGUCUUCUUUUGGUUUUCCUUCCCGAACUCUGACAGAGUGAGGAUUGGCUGAAGAAAACCCUAAAACCUGCGCGGAAGGGACUGAAAUUGCUCGUGAUGCACAUACAAUAGCGACUUCACGUAUUUAGUAAUUUCAUAAUUUUGUUCAAACGUCAGAGGUAAAGGGCAUUUAUGGGUCAUAUGCUUGGAUGCUUUGGUUAUUUUUGCUCUGGUUUCGGCAGGUUUUGUCUGAGAGAAUAAUCGGGAUAUCAGUGUCUUCAGCGUCAUCUCAGCUAGCGAUUCCCCAGAUAGCAAAAAACAUCGGCACGGCUUCUAUUUGCCGCCGGUGCUAAGCUGUCGGCUAUAGGUGGCGGGGAGACAAUGUUUGCCGCCGGUUACGUCACUCACAUUCCUAGCGAGAUGCCGGCGGUUUGCCGGCGGUCCGCCUGCUUCAUUUUCUCUGGCGGUUGCCUCUGUCUAAAGGACCGCGACCGGCUAGCGGCAAGCCGCUUUGAAAUACUCUCAAAAUCUUUUUGACGUGAAGGACUCAAGCUCUCCUUCAUGUCAUUCCAGGAAAUUGCGUUGUCUUUAUUUUUUUAAACCUCAAUGUUUUAUUUAUUUUUGCAGUAUUAAUUAAUUAAGUAUUAAUUAGCAAGAAAUUUUUAAGACAUUUUAAAAGUCUUUUUGGAUUUAACGGUAAAUGCAUUGUUAGUCACAAUGUCUAGUUACUGGGCCAAAAGGAGAAGAAUAUUGAAAGGAUUCGAGAGGGAUAAAAAGGAAAUUGCGGCUGCAAACAAUGCUCUACUUGCUCUUUUUCCUGACUUUGACCAAGUAAAUCCCCAUGUUAAUGAACAUCUACAUGGAAUGGUUACAACAAGCCAUGUACAAACUGUAACCCCUGUAGCACAGGAAAUAAUUGUUGAUGAGGCAUGUGAAGCUGGUGAGAUGUUUUCCUCAAGCACAGAAGAUGAUGAAGAGGAAGAGGAUUGCCUAAGGACAAAAUUGGCAGGGUGGGCUAUUGACAUGAUGAUCCCCCAUGUGGCACUUGGUAAGCUUUUAACCAUUUUGUCUAAGGGUCAUCCAACCCUUCCUAAAGACCCAAGAACCCUUCUGAAAACCGUGACUUGUGUUAAAACAACAGAACUCUCAGGUGGUGUAUUUUUAGUUGGGUUUGAUGCUUAAUUUGUGAUCCUGCCACUAAACUAUACCAUUUGUUAGAUUUUCACAUUUCUGUGUCCUAUUUUUCCAGAACAAGGUUUCUCACCAGUGGUCCAGUCUCCACACUCCAGAGCCAAGAGUUUGAAUACAACCCAGAGGGAGGAGAACCAAGCCUGGAGGGGAAGCAAUGCACGAGCAGCUUCGGCUCACUUCAUGAGCAGGUGCAGAUCAGACCCUAAUGCUGCGACGUCUUGGAGAGUUUGGCGAUGUUGUGCGUAGCAUGGAAAACAAAAUGGACACAUUGCUGCAACAUUUCAGUGCCAAUGUGUCUGUUGGAGAGUUAUCCCUGCCCGGUGGUCUUUUACUCCCCAUAAACACGCAGGAAGAUUUGGCGUUGCUUGACAGCAGCUUGAGGCAGGAUAGCGAGCUCCAGGAACGAUUUCUCCUGUUAUUGGCCAUCAAAUGUGGGAAGGACCUAAAGAUAACCGUGUGGAGAAUUCUUCAGAGUAUCUUCUCAAAUCGCCUUUCAAUUUCUACAACUUGGACUGGUGUAGGGGCUAAAGCUUGUUUUAAAGACCUGUUCCUGAAGACCGUUGUUCAAAGGGCCAUACGGAAGAAUCCGGCAACCCAGGAUGCCACUGAUGAGGCGGUCCAGGUUAAUGUAAUGCGUUACCUGAAAGGAGCAUCUGACCGCGAGGAAAAAGGAAAAAGGAAAAAGGCACCGCACAACAGAGAGGGACCCACAGCCGACUCCUUAAACCUAGGCUUGUCUAGACUACUGACACCCCAGUGCGUGUGCGUGCGUGUGUCUUUUUUGUUUUCUUUUUGAUUUAUAUUUCAGUGUGCUGACACAUCUUGUUUCAAUACUGUACUGAAAUGUGGAAUUAAAACGUCAAAUGGAAA